rnacentral:rRNA from 1 species
GACGAACGCUGGCGGCGUGCUUAACACAUGCAAGUCGAACGGUGAUGCUCCAGCUUGCUGGAGUGGAUCAGUGGCGAACGGGUGAGUAACACGUGAGCAACCUGCCCCAGACUCUGGAAUAAGCGCUGGAAACGGCGUCUAAUACUGGAUACGAAACUGGCCCGCAUGGGCAUGGUUUGGAAAGUUUUUCGGUUUGGGAUGGGCUCGCGGCCUAUCAGCUUGUUGGUGAGGUAAUGGCUCACCAAGGCGACGACGGGUAGCCGGCCUGAGAGGGCGACCGGCCACACUGGGACUGAGACACGGCCCAGACUCCUACGGGAGGCAGCAGUGGGGAAUAUUGCACAAUGGGCGAAAGCCUGAUGCAGCGACGCCGCGUGAGGGAUGACGGCCUUCGGGUUAUAAACCUCUUUCAGCAGGGAAGAAGCGAAAGUGACGGUACCUGCAGAAGAAGCACCGGCUAACUACGUG